rnacentral:rRNA from 1 species
AUUGAACGCUGGCGGCAGGCCUAACACAUGCAAGUCGAGCGGAUGAAGGGAGCUUGCUCCUGGAUUCAACGGCGGACGGGUGAGUAAUGCCUAGGAAUCUGCCUGGUAGUGGGGGAUAACGUCCGGAAACGGGCGCUAAUACCGCAUACGUCCUGAGGGAGAAAGUGGGGGAUCUUCGGACCUCACGCUAUCAGAUGAGCCUAGGUCGGAUUAGCUAGUUGGUGGGGUAAAGGCCUACCAAGGCGACGAUCCGUAACUGGUCUGAGAGGAUGAUCAGUCACACUGGAACUGAGACACGGUCCAGACUCCUACGGGAGGCAGCAGUGGGGAAUAUUGGACAAUGGGCGAAAGCCUGAUCCAGCCAUGCCGCGUGUGUGAAGAAGGUCUUCGGAUUGUAAAGCACUUUGAGUUGGGAGGAAGGGCAGUAAGUUAAUACCUUGCUGUUGUGACGUUACCAACAGAAUAAGCACCGGCUAACUUCGUG